AACGAACGCUGGCGGCAUGCCUAACACAUGCAAGUCGAACGAGACCUUCGGGUCUAGUGGCGCACGGGUGCGUAACGCGUGGGAACCUGCCCUUAGGUUCGGAAUAACUCCCCGAAAGGGGUGCUAAUACCGGAUAAUGUCUUUGGACCAAAGAUUUAUCGCCUUUGGAUGGGCCCGCGUUGGAUUAGCUAGUUGGUGGGGUAAAAGCCUACCAAGGCGACGAUCCAUAGCUGGUCUGAGAGGAUGAUCAGCCACACUGGGACUGAGACACGGCCCAGACUCCUACGGUAGGCAGCAGUGGGGAAUAUUGGACAAUGGGCGAAAGCCUGAUCCAGCAAUGCCGCGUGAGUGAUGAAGGCCUUAGGGUUGUAAAGCUCUUUUACCCGGGAUGAUAAUGACAGUACCGGGAGAAUAAGCUCCGGCUAACUCCGUG
rnacentral:rRNA from 1 species